rnacentral:rRNA from 1 species
CCGACUGCUAUCAUAGUGGGACUAAGCCAUGCGAGUCGACGCUGCAAAGCGUGGCAUACGGCUCAGUAACACGUAGUCAACAUGCCCAAAGGACGUGGAUAACCUCGGGAAACUGAGGAUAAACCGCGAUAGGUCAAGGUUUCUGGAAUGAGCCAUGGCCGAAAUCUACAUGGCCUUUGGAUUGGACUGCGGCCGAUCAGGCUGUUGGUGAGGUAAUGGCCCACCAAACCUGUAACCGG